CUCAACAAAACACAGGGCGACACUUAGGAGCAAACACCGAGCUGUGAGCAGAGUGCAGUCUGCAGACUUAGUCAUCAUUGGAGCUUGGGACUGGACGUGACACUGGUCUUCUGCUAUUUCACUGCUCAGUUCGUCCAAGAUCAGGAUGGAAAUUCAACGGCUGCUCCUGAGGAUGUGUCCGCAGUGCCACCGUCCUCACCCCGCAGCAACCCCGGCACAGCACAGCACACCCUGUUUGUUUUUCUGCGUUUAUUAAAUCUUCCCCCGGCAGGAAAGCGACCAAUAUCACCACGUCACUGGGAGCUGAGACAUCUAUACUGGAGAGAGGAAGAGAUUUUGGUCGUCUGCCUAUCUCCUCCUCAACAUGGCGCCCCCGAGACCAAGCAAGCAAUGAGAGUACACACACAUACACACUUUUAGCUGCCACCGAGGAGAACAGCUUGGCUCUGUGUUGCACUGAAAACCCCACUUUCCCCUCAAUCAGACAGACAGGUAGACAGCUGGGUGUUACGCUAAAUCCCUUCCCCCAUGUGUGCCUCCUAACAAGGGCUUCGCUCUUCUUGUCACUCUCUUUCUGCUGCUCUCUUUAUUCCACCCCUCUAGAAGCGAGAAAGGAGAGUCAGCUUUGGGACGUAUAAAACUAUGAUAUGAUUGUAAAAUGAAGAGUAGUUUAUGAAUAGUUUAGAGGAGA